CCGUACUAAAUGGGGGGGUAGCGGUACCCUGUAACCUGCAACCCGCUAUAGCAGGAUUGAAGCCGAGCUGAGGAUUUUCCUUUGUGGGGUCCGGCCUUGAUAAGUGGUGUUGACAAUCGGGUCUUACGCAAUGAAGCUUUAUGAACCCCGUCAGGUCCGGGAGGAAGCAGCGGUAAGUAAAUGCCUUCAUGUGCCGUAAGGGUGCCUGGUUCGAGCUAACUGUCAAGGUAACGCCUGGGAAGGGAGAUUCGAGGUAGGUGUACGG
rnacentral:SRP_RNA from 2 species